rnacentral:rRNA from 1 species
GCUCAGGAUGAACGCUAGCGGCAGGCCUAACACAUGCAAGUCGAACGGUAACAUUGGUUGCUUGCAACCAGAUGACGAGUGGCGCACGGGUGCGGAACGCGUAUCGAACCUGCCCCUGUCAGGGGAAUAGCCCAUGGAAACGUGGAUUAAUGCCCCAUGGCAUCACGGUAUCGCAUGAUACUGUGAUUAAAGAUUUAUCGGACGGGGAUGGCGAUGCGUGCCAUUAGUUAGUUGGUAAGGUAACGGCUUACCAAGGCAGCGAUGGCUAGGGGCCCUGAGAGGGGGAUCCCCCACACUGGUACUGAGACACGGACCAGACUCCUACGGGAGGCAGCAGUGAGGAAUAUUGGACAAUGGUGGGAACACUGAUCCAGCCAUGCCGCGUGCAGGAUGACUGCCCUAUGGGUUGUAAACUGCUUUUAUACGGGAAGAAACCCAGGUACGUGUACCUGGCUGACGGUACCGUAAGAAUAAGGACCGGCUAACUCCGUGCCAGCAGCCGCGGUAAUACGGAGGGUCCGAGCGUUAUCCGGAAUCAUUGGGUUUAAAGGGUCCGUAGGCGGGCCCGUAAGUCAGAGGUGAAAGGCCACGGCUCAACCGUGGGACUGCCUUUGAUACUGCGGGUCUUGAGUCAUAGUGGGGUUGCCGGAACAUGUGGUGUAGCGGUGAAAUGCAUAGAUAUCACAUAGAACACCGAUCGCGAAGGCAGGUGGCCAACUAUGAACUGACGCUGAUGGACGAAAGCGUGGGUAGCGAACGGGAUUAGAUACCCCGGUAGUCCACGCCGUAAACGAUGGAUACUAGCUGUGGGGACUUCGGUCUCCGUGGCCAAGCGAAAGUGAUAAGUAUCCCACCUGGGGAGUACGUUCGCAAGAAUGAACUCAA